rnacentral:lncRNA from 10 species
GCCGCCUUGCAGUUUGAUCUCAGACUGCUGUGCUAGCAAUCAGCAAGACUCCGUGGGCGUAGGACCCUCCAAGCCAGGUGUGGGACAUAACCUUGUGGUGCGCCGUUUUUUAAGCCGGUCUGAAACGUGCAAUAUUCGGGUGGGAGUGACCCGAUUUUCCAGGUGCGUCCAUCACCCCUUUCUUUGACUCGGAAAGGGAACUCCCUGACCCCUUGCGCUUCCCAGGUGAGGCAAUGCCUCGCCCUGCUUCGGCUCGCGCACGGUGCUUGCACCCACUGGCCUGCGCCCACUGUCUGGCACUCCCUAGUGAGAUGAACCCGGUACCUCAGAUGGAAAUGCAGAAAUCACCCGUCUUCUGUGUCGCUCACGCUGGGAGCUGUAGACCGGAGCUGUUCCUAUUCGGCCAUCUUGGCUCCUCCCCGGCAUAGUCUUGAAGCUCCCUGCCUAGAGGCUGUCUUUUCCAGGAGCUAUACCUCUGCUUCACACAGGUCACUGGGUAAUAGGAUGUAAAGAGGAGUUCUCAAAACAACCUCACAGACCCAGAAUAAUCAAAACAAUUGAAGACUUAACUUCAAUUUCAAAACUUACCACAGAGCAAGAGUAAUCAAGACAGUAUGGUACUUCCCUAAGGACAAACAUAUAUGAAUGAAAGAGAAACCAGAUUUUGGAAAUUUUAAAGAGUGUCAAGACCAUUCAGCAAGGAAUGAAUAGUCUUUUCAACAAAUUGUGAGACAAUAGAUAUUCACAUGCAAAAAAUGUACCUGGACUCCUACCUCACGCCAUAUAAAAAUAUUAACUCAAAAUGGAUUAUAGGGAGGAAGUGGAGGAAGAUGACCAGAAAAAACCUUCCAGUGAUUAUCCCUAACUUGCCCUGCAGGAAGACCAAAUUGAACAACUAUCCACAAAGGAAAGCACCAUCAUAUGAGGCAAAAAUCAGGUGCAUAGGUGGAACGGACUUGCCUUUGUCACAGAUGAGACUUUGGACUGGGACUUUUGGGUUAAUGCUAGAAUGAGCUAAGACUUUGGGGAACUGUUGGAAAGACAUGAUUGUGUUUUGAAAUGUGAGGACAUGAAAUUUGGGAGGGGCCAGGGGCAGAAUGAUACUGUUUGGCUGUGUCCCCACCAAAAUUUUGUCUUGAAUUCUAGUUGCCAUAAUCUCCACAUGUUGUGGGAGGGACCUGAUGGGAGGUAAUUGAAUCACGGGGGUGGGGAGUUAUCCCCAUGCUAUUUUGAGUGAGUUCUCACAAGAUCUGAUGGCUUUAUAAGGGGCUUUCCCCCCUUUUCCCAGCACUACUCUCUCCUGCCUCCAUGUGAAGAAGGAAGUGUUUGCUUCUCCUUCCACCACGAUUGUACAUUUCCUGAGUCCUCCCCAGCCAUGUGGAACUGUGAGUCAAUUGAACCUCUUUAUAAAUUAAUCAGUCUCAGUUAUUUCUUCAUAGCAUCACAAGCAUAGUGUCUGAAAGGACAACCAGUUUGCAGCACAAGAGGUACAAAAAUGAGCCUAAAACUGAAUACUUAUUUCAAAUAUUCAAAACGACUAUUUCCAGUAGAAAUUUCUCUCUUUAUCUUUCAGAUAUGUCCUGAGAGUUUCUGAAGUUAUUUAACUGGUUCAAUGAGAAUUUAAUCAAGGUCUGCUUUAUAUCAAAAUUUAUGAUUUUUAUUCAAUGCCAUACAUAGAAUUUGUUCACAGUUAUCAUCAAACACACUCAUGUAAGUAAAUUCUAUUAGAAAAACAUGUUCUUCGGUGGUCAGAAUAUUCUGGGACUUUAGGUUAAAAUGUAUAAAUGUCAAAGUUGCAACUCAGGUUGCUAUUUUUUAUUUUUAACAGGCAUAUGCAUAGUCCUACUUCUUUUCAUUGAGUCAUUUUUGUUGGUUUAACUUUUAAAUAGUAUAUACAUUUUUCCUCUGGAACAGUUCUUGGCUAGUUUGACAGCCUUGGCAGUGUUUUCUGGGUGAGAAGUAGUUUAUAGCACUGCCUUUUAAUAGUGAGAACCAAAUGAACAGCAUAUCUAGGCAGUGAAUAAUCUUAGCACAUAGCACUCAAAUGACACGCAGUCUGAGGAAAAUGUGUAGGAGAAACUAAGUCUUACAGGGCUCCACAGCUCAGAGAUAAAAACAUAGAACAUUUGAGAUUGUACAAAACUUUCUAGUGUAUGGUGAUUAUUGAGUGUUUGUGAAUGGUUAUGUAGCAGAUGUGUAAAUAAAUGUAUCUUGUUGAGUAGAAGAUGUCACAGAAGAGAAUUCAUGAAAAUGAAAGCCACAGGCAUUGCAAAAAAUGAAAUGAUUUAACUCUUAUAUUUGUCUAUGGAUAGUAUUAUCAUAAUUAUACACAAUUAGAUCUGAUGUUCUGAAAUACUCUUCAAGAACAAUUUAAAACAUCACACUAGAUGUCCAGAGGUUAUCAACUAGAAGCCUGUUGACAGGUUAUUAGAAACACAUUGUUUGACAAUUUCUAUUUGAUUGGCUAUAGUCAGGAUACAUAUUCUCCCACCUGCUGUAGUUCUCACCAAUUGCUAUUGUAUUAAAUAAAACAUGUUUUAUUCAUUUAUUAAUAUCUUCUGCCUGGUCUGUGAAUACAGCUGAGUAUGUUUGGUUCAGUAACCUUGGCAUUUCAAUGUAAUGCCAUUUUAUUUGAUUUUUUAAUUCGUUUUUCCUCUAUAGAAACAAAUGUAUGUAAUUAGACUGACACAUAAUAUGAGCAGAGCUCCUUUGUCUCUUAAUUAGUAGUCUUUUCAGUUAAUAUAUCUUUGAAC